UCAAAACAACAUAGUUAUCCCUGAGAACUUUGCAGAGGGGAAAAAUACUAAGAAUUAAAAAAAGAAGAAGAAAACUAAUAACUGUCACUGGAACUUCAUCCCUUGGGUACCAUGUCAUGCUGGGAUGCUGAGGAAGGUGCUGCCAGCAUCCGUGUGCUGUCCUUUGUGAGCUCACAGGGAUGAUCCCCAUACUGUAACCAGGGUGACAGAGUCCCCACUGUGUGCUCAAAAAGGAUCCCCUCCCCAGCAUCUUCCCUGAUCAUCAGGAGCAUCAGUGUCUGGGGAGCUGGGGGGCUGAGUGGAAGUGAGGAUAGUGGGGGCCCAGCAGAGGCAUAGCAAACAGCACAGGGGGCACUCCAAAGGCCAGGGCAGAGUGACCCCUUCUGCCAGAACAAGAAGAAUCGCAUGUUUUCCAGUGUGCCUCUGGGCAAGAAAAAAGGCAUGGUCUCAGUUACCAGCAUGCUAGGAGAUGACCUGGACCAACAUCCAGGCAGGAAAGACGCAAGCUGAGCACUCAGCAGUUUAGAAUUGAGCUGAGUUUUCAGUUAAUUUUAUUCAGCAGUAGGAAGCCUUGUCAGAAAAGUAGCAAGAUACGUAACAUAACAUGGGUCUUCAGAGGGAAGCAAGCAAAGAGGCAUUGUUCACAAGGUCCCAACAAAUCAUGCUGCCAGAAAAGCAAGACUAAGCAACUAAAAAGGGAAAAGCAACUAAACCAGGCUGAUAAUUAAUGAGACAAGAGAAGACUCAGAGGAAAAAAAAGUGGGCAGGGGCCCAAGAAAAGCAAAAGGAUGUAGCCUCUCUACCUUAUC